rnacentral:rRNA from 1 species
UGGGGAAUAUUGCACAAUGGGCGCAAGCCUGAUGCAGCCAUGCCGCGUGUAUGAAGAAGGCCUUCGGGUUGUAAAGUACUUUCAGCGAGGAGGAAGGCGUUGUGGUUAAUAACCGCAGCGAUUGACGUUACUCGCAGAAGAAGCACCGGCUAACUACGUGCCAGCAGCCGCGGUAAUACGGAGGGUGCAAGCGUUAAUCGGAAUUACUGGGCGUAAAGCGCACGCAGGCGGUCUGUCAAGUCGGAUGUGAAAUCCCCGGGCUCAACCUGGGAACUGCAUCCGAAACUGGCAGGCUAGAGUCUUGUAGAGGGGGGUAGAAUUCCAGGUGUAGCGGUGAAAUGCGUAGAGAUCUGGAGGAAUACCGGUGGCGAAGGCGGCCCCCUGGACAAAGACUGACGCUCAGGUGCGAAAGCGUGGGGAGCAAACA